rnacentral:misc_RNA from 1 species
GUAGGUGAACCUGCGGAAGGAUCAUUAACACGUUUUCUUAAAACAAAAACGUUUAACUAAUUUUUACCUUUUGUUAAAAAACCAAACCUCUGUGAAUUUAGAAAGGCUUGGGUAUUUUUCCUUUUUUUGGGUCUUCUGGACCUUUGAAAGAAGUUGAAAGGCCCUUGUUGGAUUCUGUUGUGUUAAACUUUCUCGUCUCGCUUCAACUCUUGGGGAAGUGAAGGACAGCGGUUGAGGGGCUGUAUCGUUC